rnacentral:rRNA from 1 species
UAGGGAAUCUUCGGCAAUGGACGGAAGUCUGACCGAGCAACGCCGCGUGAGUGAAGAAGGUUUUCGGAUCGUAAAGCUCUGUUGUUAGAGAAGAACGUUGGUAGGAGUGGAAAAUCUACCAAGUGACGGUAACUAACCAGAAAGGGACGGCUAACUACGUGCCAGCAGCCGCGGUAAUACGUAGGUCCCGAGCGUUGUCCGGAUUUAUUGGGCGUAAAGCGAGCGCAGGCGGUUCUCUAAGUCUGAAGUUAAAGGCAGUGGCUUAACCAUUGUACGCUUUGGAAACUGGAGGACUUGAGUGCAGAAGGGGAGAGUGGAAUUCCAUGUGUAGCGGUGAAAUGCGUAGAUAUAUGGAGGAACACCGGUGGCGAAAGCGGCUCUCUGGUCUGUAACUGACGCUGAGGCUCGAAAGCGUGGGGAGCAAACAGG